CUUAUCCCGUUUCCCAAUACGCAAUUUUAGCCGAAUCGUGACGCAAAACACGGCUUGUCUCGAAUCCCGCUAAAAUAAGGGUGUCUAUCCCGAAUCCCGACAGUUAUUUUCGGCCCAUCCCAGUGUCCCGAAAAUACCCGUUCUCCCCCUCAUACAUAGUAGACCAUAUUGUCACAUUGAUGUUUUCUUUCAUUACAGUUCGACUUCGAGAUCUACAUUUUCGACAAAGGCCUGGUGUAAUAUUAUUACGUACUUGAUGAAGGUUUAAUGACACGAAUGAGUACAAGUACAUUACAUUUUUCGACGAAGGCCUUCUGUAAUUUCAUACGCUUCUUACGCAACAUUCAAUAGAUUUAUUUACUGUAUUAUCAUUUCGACCAAGGCGAAUUCGACACUUCAAUUACACAAGGUUAGUAACUUUUGUUCACAAAAUCCAAAUGGAGGCAAAUACAGAACAAUCAAACUUAGUCAUUCCAGUCAGUUACUGAAGCACAGUGAAAACUGUCGGGAGCAGUGCAACUGAUGGCAUGUCAAACUUCCAGUGACUGUCCCUGUCCAUAUUUUUCAAGACAGUACAAAUCU